CACAGCCAUGGCCACAUAAGUACAGUUUUGGUCUCCGUCUUGGACUCGGUCUUGGACUCCGUCUUGGACUCGGUUCCUGUGGUGUUCCGCCGGGAGGUGCAGUUGGAUCGACCGCGAUGGAAGUCGUGAAGGAGUUGUACAACUCUGUUAAGUCAGACAGCAAUAGAGCCUUGGACUGCAGAUCCAAGAGGUCACAGGGUUCAAAUCCCCCCUUGAAUAUCGCUUUGGCCUGUGCCCUGCAAGCCAUCCUUUUAACCCCGUCGUGGACGACCCGCCGGCCAGUCUAACGGGAACCCGCCUGCCUGUUCCUCUGGGACCGCUAAUGCAGCGCUUACGUGUCUGAUGUAAGGCCUCGUGCUGAGGGGAUUUCGGAAGAUUUCAUAUUGUGAGUCACACACG